CACGUAGUUAGCCGUGGCUUUCUGGUGAGGUACCGUCAAGGUACCGCCCUAUUCGAACGGUACCGCUUCUUCCCUCACAACAGAGCUUUACGACCCGAAGGCCUUCCUCACUCACGCGGCGUUACUCCGUCAGACUUUCGUCCAUUGCGGAAGAUUCCCUACUGCUGCCUCCCGUAGGAGUCUGGGCCGUGUCUCAGUCCCAGUGUGGCCGAUCACCCUCUCAGGUCGGCUACGCAUCGUUGCCUUGGUAAGCCGUUACCUUACCAACUAGCUAAUGCGCCGCGGGCCCAUCCCUUAGUGAUAGCCGAAGCCAUCUUUCACCCUCUCUCCAGGUGGAGAAAGGGAUUAUCCGGUAUUAGCUCCGGUUUCCCGGAGUUAUCCCAGUCUAAGGGGUCAGGUUGCCCACGUGUUACUCACCCGUCCGCCGCUAACGUCAAAGGAGCAAGCUCCUUAUCUGUCCGCUCGACUUGCAUGUAUUAGGCACGCCGCCAGCGUCGUCCGUCGUGCCGACGGAGUCGAACUAC
rnacentral:rRNA from 1 species